GAAGCAUCAGUUAUAGGUUAUAGGCUACAAGCAGCAAUAUGACGGACCAUGAAGCAUCAGUUAUAGGCUACAAGCAGCAAUAUGAUGGACCAUGAAGCAUCAGUUAUAGUCUACAAGCAGCAAUAUGAUGGACCAUGAAGCAUCAGUUAUAGGUUAUAGGCUACAAGCAGCAAUAUGAUGGACCAUGAAGCAUCAGUUAUAGGCUACAAGCAGCAAUAUGAUGGACCAUGAAGCAUCAGUUAUAGGCUACAAGCAGCAAUAUGAUGGACCAUGAAGCAUCAGUUAUAGGCUACAAGCAGCAAUAUGAUGGACCAUGAAGCAUCAGUUAUAGUCUAC
ensembl:lncRNA